rnacentral:rRNA from 1 species
GACGUAGGGGGGCCAGCGUUGUUCGGAAUUACUGGGUGUAAAGGGUUCGUAGGCGGUGUGGCAAGUCGGGAGUGAAAUCUCUGGGCUCAACCCAGAGACUGCUUCCGAAACUGCUGUGCUUGAGUGUGAGAGAGGCUCGUGGAAUUGCAGGUGUAGCGGUGAAAUGCGUAGAUAUCUGCAGGAACACCCGUGGCGAAAGCGGCGAGCUGGAUCACUACUGACGCUGAGGAACGAAAGCUAGGGGAGCAAACAGG